rnacentral:rRNA from 1 species
UACGUAGGGGGCUAGCGUUGUCCGGAAUCAUUGGGCGUAAAGAGCGUGUAGGCGGCCCGGUAAGUCCGCUGUAAAAGUCAAAGGCUCAACCUUUGAAUGUCAGUGGAUACUGCCGGGCUAGAGUCCGGAAGAGGCGAGUGGAACUCCUGGUGUAGCGGUGGAAUGCGCAGAUAUCAGGAAGAACACCAACGGCGAAGGCAGCUCGCUGGGACGGUACUGACGCUGAGGAGCGAAAGCGUGGGUAGCAAACAGG